UGGGGAAUAUUGGGCAAUGGGCGCAAGCCUGACCCAGCGACGCCGCGUGGGGGAAGAAGUCUUUCGGGAUGUAAACCCUUGUUGUACGGGACGAAACGAAUGACGGUACCGCACGAGGAAGCCCCGGCAAACUACGUGCCAGCAGCCGCGGUAAUACGUAGGGGGCGAGCGUUGUCCGGAAUUACUGGGCGUAAAGCGCACGUAGGCGGGCUGUCAAGUCGGCCGUGAAAGGCACUGGCUCAACCGGUGUUUGUCGGUCGAUACUGGCGGUCUGGAGUAUGGGAGAGGGAACUGGAAUUCCCGGUGUAGCGGUGAAAUGCGUAGAUUUCGGGAGGAACACCAGUGGCGAAGGCGGGUUCCUGGCCCAUUACUGACGCUGAGGCGCGAAAGCCGGGGGAGCGAACGG
rnacentral:rRNA from 1 species